rnacentral:misc_RNA from 1 species
UACGGAGGGUGCCAGCGUUGCUCGGAAUCACUGGGCGUAAAGGGUACGCAGGCGGCUCAUCAAGUCGGAUGUGAAAGCCCGGGGCUCAACUCCGGAAUUGCAUUCGAAACUGGUGGGCUUGAGUACGGGAGAGGGAAGCGGAAUUCCUGGUGUAGAGGUGAAAUUCGUAGAUAUCAGGAGGAACACCAGCGGCGAAAGCGGCUUCCUGGCCCGAUACUGACGCUGAGGUACGAAAGCGUGGGGAGCAAACAGG